rnacentral:lncRNA from 1 species
GGAAGACACGGCAGGAUUCCCAGACCAGUCAGUCAACCUGUGCACCCUUCACUCUGUCAUUAAGCAAUAAAAGGCCGGACCCAGAACCGUAUGCUGAGCUCACAGGCAUCCCUUGGACCCAAUAUCUGUCAACAUGUCGUCUCUGGCUUUGACAUUGAUUUAUUGAAGGUUUUAAGGAGAUCGGCAGCAGAACAGGCUCUCGCCUGUCAGACCUACCUGAAGUGCCCUCUUUCAUGCAGUCCUAUCUGUCAGCUGGAGGACCAGUUCUGGGAGGUGGACGUUGUUCUUCGGGCUCCAAAGGCCAUAUGCUAAAAAUACUGAUGGCAGAGACGGACACCCGAAGAGCACUUGGCAGUGAGGAUACUGUGCUGUGUGGAGCCUGUCCUUCAGGGGAAGAUCUCCCAGCUGCCCAGUUUCUCAGGAAAGCGAGUGAGUUCUCACUCCCGUGGUGCCGAACUAGUUCCUGGACCAUCAAGUUCUGAGAAGGAGAAAGCAACGCACAGCCUUCACCAACCAGACAUGGCUGCCCAGUCUUGGACUUCUCAGGUUCCAGAGCAAUCAACCAAAAUAAACAAGUGAUUUGGGCCUCAGGUA